UCCCCCUUGUGGGGGGCUGUCCCGCUAGAGAAAACAACUAGCGGCAAGGGUUGCGCUCGUUGCGGGACUUAACCCAACACCUCACGGCACGAGCUGACGACAGCCAUGCAGCACCUGUGCCGGCUUCCCGAGUUACCCCGGAAUCGUCACCCUUUCGGGCUUCUACUACCGGCAUGUCAAGCCCUGGUAAGGUUCUUCGCUUAGCAUCGAAUUAAACCACACGCUCCACCGCUUGUGCGGGCCCCCGUCAAUUCUUUUGAGUUUUAGCCUUGCGGCCGUAGUCCCCAGGCGGGACGCUUAUCGCGUUAGCUUCGGCACAGGGGGGGUCGAUACCCCCAAUACCUAGCGUCCAUAGUUUAGGGCGUGGACUAC
rnacentral:misc_RNA from 1 species